AGAUGUUAUGGAUAUCUCGCUGUGACAUCUUCUGUCACCCCAUUGAUGGCCAGAGUUGAUCUGGCUGACUAGAUGGGUAUCUCCUUCCUCCCUCACUGCUCCAUGUGUGUCCCUCUCAAAGCUGCACAGUUGGUUGAAGAGGAUGACCUUCCCCAAAUAGAGAUGAACUAGUUUGUGUUCCCCUGCUAGAACCUCCAAACAAGCUCUCUGAGGUGAUUCCAAACACUGACUCGUUUUAUGACACUGAAGGAAAUCUGUUCCUGUUACU
rfam:Erinaceus europaeus unplaced genomic scaffold scaffold00094, whole genome shotgun sequence